rnacentral:rRNA from 1 species
CCAGAUGACCCCUUCGGGGUGAUUCUGGCGGAAUGAGCGGCGGACGGGUGAGUAACACGUGGGCAACCUGCCUGUAAGACUGGGAUAACUUCGGGAAACCGGAGCUAAUACCGGAUAGUAUUUCCUUUCUCCUGAUUGGAAAUGGAAAGACGGUUUCGGCUGUCACUUACAGAUGGGCCCGCGGUGCAUUAGCUAGUUGGUGGGGUAAUGGCCCACCAAGGCGACGAUGCAUAGCCGACCUGAGAGGGUGAUCGGCCACACUGGGACUGAGACACGGCCCAGACUCCUACGGGAGGCAGCAGUAGGGAAUCUUCCGCAAUGGACGAAAGUCUGACGGAGCAACGCCGCGUGAGCGAUGAAGGCCUUCGGGUCGUAAAGCUCUGUUGUUAGGGAAGAACAAGUACGAGAGUAACUGCUCGUACCUUGACGGUACCUAACCAGAAAGCCCCGGCUAACUACGUGCCAGCAGCCGCGGUAAUACGUAGGGGGCAAGCGUUGUCCGGAAUUAUUGGGCGUAAAGGGCUCGUAGGCGGUUUCUUAAGUCUGAUGUGAAAGCCCACAGCUCAACUGUGGAGGGUCAUUGGAAACUGGGGAACUUGAGUGCAGAAGAGGAGAGUGGAAUUCCACGUGUAGCGGUGAAAUGCGUAGAUAUGUGGAGGAACACCAGUGGCGAAGGCGACUCUCUGGUCUGUAACUGACGCUGAGGAGCGAAAGCGUGGGGAGCAAACAGGAUUAGAUACCCUGGUAGUCCACGCCGUAAACGAUGAGUGCUAGGUGUUAGGGGGUUUCCGCCCCUUAGUGCUGAAGUUAACGCAUUAAGCACUCCGCCUGGCGAGUACGGCCGCAAGGCUGAAACUCAAAAGAAUUGACGGGGGCCCGCACAAGCCGUGGAGCAUGUGGUUCAAUUCGAAGCAACGCGCAGAACCUUACCAGGUCUUGACAUCCGCUGACAAUCUUGGAGACAAGAAGAUUCCUUCCGGGGACAGCGUGACAGGAGGGGCCGGGG